rnacentral:rRNA from 1 species
UACGAAGGGGGCUAGCGUUGUUCGGAGUUACUGGGCGUAAAGCGUGCGUAGGCGGUGUCUUAAGUUUGUUGUGAAAUCUCCCGGCUUAACCGGGAGGGUGCGGCGAAUACUGAGAUGCUGGAGUGCGGGAGAGGUAAGCGGAAUUCCUGGUGUAGCGGUGAAAUGCGUAGAUAUCAGGAGGAACACCUGCGGUGUAGACGGCUUACUGGACCGUAACUGACGCUGAGGCACGAAAGCGUGGGUAGCAAACAGG